rnacentral:lncRNA from 1 species
GGACGGUGGCGCUGGGUGGACACGGAGGUCCCGCGCUCCCCGACCGAGACAGGGCGGGCCCUAUUUCGGGGAGGUGUUGGGCACCAACACUUUUUAAAGCCCCGUGGGUGGUUCUCCGGGAUCUCCCAGACCGAGAGGGCCUGAACGUCCAGACCGCAGCGAAUGGGGUCGAAAUGGGCGGCGCUCGUCCGCGGAGGUGGGCGGGAGCGGCCCGGGGCCUCCGGCCUCUAGGGAGCGGGAGUGACCCUCGGUUUCUGGCCUCCGAGGGGCGGGAGCGAUCCUCAGCCAUGUCCCUAGCAGGUACUGAGCCCUUCAAUUGAGGUCUAAACCCUCCACCCUCUCCCUCCGGGAUUGCCAAGCCUGUGGUUUCAGUUCCAUGCUCCCAGGACACCCUCUGUCUCUGAGUUGUGGGAGCCUUCCUCCUUCAGUCUGCAUGUACUGAAGCCAGUGUUUGCUGUACAGCCCCUCAGCCGCAGCAGCCCACAGCGAGGUGCAGGUGCUCACGCCAUCGCCCCAGAGAGCUCCUCCAUUCGC